CCGAGUCCCGCCCCCAAGCUCCGGCCCCGGGGUGGUCCCCGCCCAGUUCUAGCGCCUGUUAUUGUUGGGACUGGAGCCCAGAGUGAUCCCGCUGCGGCGACGGCUUGCUCUGACAAAGAUUGGAGAAAAAGACUGGAAAAGAAUGAAAUUAAUCUUUAGAGGACAGGGGAAAUAUGAAAAGAAGAGCCACACGCAGUAAUUUCUGCUGUCAAAUGAAUCCCAGCUCAGCCAAUUGCUAGAGAAAUGAGAAUGGAGGAAAAGCCCCAGGGGGCUGGUGCCUUUGCUUCUGUCCAUGCAGAGACAUCUGGAUUUUAGUGGUAUGAUAUGGGUAACAGAAAAAAGGAAUGAAGAGAAUUUACUUUUGUGAUUUUCUGUGAGAUGACAGAGAAAGAAGACUGUGGAAGUUCUGGGGAAAUAUUUCAAACUUCAAAGACCAGAACCCUAAAAUCUGCUUACUGUCUCACAGAAGCAUUCACUUUAUCCUCUUGACUGAACAAAUGUUUACAGCCAAGUUUGUUGCUGAAUGUCUGAAUUCUGCUGAAGACUUUCUUCCUUUCUGUGAAUAAGAGUGGUUUGGAUAUAUUUUUCUCUUUAUCUCAUAUGCUUCUUUCAGCUAGACAUUUCAGUUAAAACUCUCAGAUUUAUUACUCACAAUUUUUAACAUUUGUAAACUUUUUAAAGAUAUUUGACAUA